rnacentral:rRNA from 1 species
AGAGUUUGAUCCUGGCUCAGAACGAACGCUGGCGGCAGGCUUAACACAUGCAAGUUGAACGGGAUUUGUGUGGUGCUUGCACCAUAUAAUGAGAGUAGCGCACUGGUGAGUAACACGUGGGAACGUACCUUUUGGUGGGGGACAACAUCUGGAAACGGAUGCUAAUACCGCAUAAGACCUGAGGGUGAAAGAUUUAUCGCCGAAAGAACGGCCCGCGGAAGAUUAGGCAGUUGGUGGGGUAAAGGCCUACCAAACCUACGAUCUAUAGCUGGUCUGAGAGGACGAUCAGCCACACUGGAACUGAGACACGGUCCAGACUCCUACGGGAGGCAGCAGUGAGGAAUAUUGGGCAAUGGAGGCAACUCUGACCCAGCCAUGCCGCGUGAGUGAAGAAGGUUUUCGGAUUGUAAAGCUCUUUCGGAUGUGACGAUGAUGACGGUAGCAUCUAAAGAAGCCCCGGCUAACUUCGUGCCAGCAGCCGCGGUAAUACGAAGGGGGCGAGCGUUGUUCGGAAUUACUGGGCGUAAAGGGUGUGUAGGCGGUUAUGUAAGAUAGCGGUGAAAUCCCGGGGCUUAACCUCGGAAUAGCCGUUAUAACUAUGUAGCUAGAGUUAUGGAGAGGAUAGCGGAAUACCCAGUGUAGAGGUGAAAUUCGUAGAUAUUGGGUAGAACACCGGUGGCGAAGGCGGCUAUCUGGCCAUAUACUGACGCUGAGGCACGAAAGCAUGGGGAUCAAACAGGAUUAGAUACCCUGGUAGUCCAUGCUGUAAACGAUGAAUGCUGGUUGUCGGCUUUAGGGUCGGUGACGAAGUUAACGCGAUAAGCAUUCCGCCUGGGGAGUACGGUCGCAAGAUUAAAACUCAAAGGAAUUGACGGGGACCCGCACAAGCGGUGGAGCAUGUGGUUUAAUUCGAUGCAACGCGAAGAACCUUACCAACUCUUGACAUCCUUAUCGGGGGGCGCAGAGAUGAGCCCUUUCAGUUAGGCUGGAUAAGUGACAGAUGCUGCAUGGCUGUCGUCAGCUCGUGUCGUGAGAUGUUGGGUUAAGUCCCGCAACGAGCGCAACC